GGGGAUGUAACUCAGUGGUAGAGUGCUUGCCUAGCAAGAGUGUUGGUUUCAACCCCG
rnacentral:tRNA from 1 species